rnacentral:rRNA from 1 species
AGUGAACGCUGGCGGUAGGCCUAACACAUGCAAGUCGAACGGCAGCACAGUAAGAGCUUGCUCUUACGGGUGGCGAGUGGCGGACGGGUGAGGAAUACAUCGGAAUCUACUUUUUCGUGGGGGAUAACGUAGGGAAACUUACGCUAAUACCGCAUACGACCUACGGGUGAAAGCAGGGGAUCUUCGGACCUUGCGCGAUUGAAUGAGCCGAUGUCGGAUUAGCUAGUUGGCGGGGUAAAGGCCCACCAAGGCGACGAUCCGUAGCUGGUCUGAGAGGAUGAUCCGCCACACUGGAACUGGGGCACGGUCCAGACUCCUACGGGAGGAAGCAGUGUGGAGUAUUGGACAAUGGGCGCAAGCCUGAUCCAGCCAUACCGUGUGGGUGAAGAAGGCCUUCUGGUUGUAAAGCCCUUUUGUUGGGAAAGAAAAGCAGCAGGUUAAUACCCCGCUGUUCUGACGGUACCCAAAGAAUAAGCACCGGCUAACUUCGUG